rnacentral:lncRNA from 1 species
UUUCCGAUUUCAUGAAGAGGGAGAUAGAGGAAAAAAACACAUUUCUUGGAUAUGACUUUAUUCACACAAACUUUCUUUAAAAAAAAAAAGGAAGAAAACCUGGCACCAGUUCAUCUAAGCAUUGAAACUGUCACUCCAUUGACUCUUUAAAAAGUUACCUGUAAUUGUGUGGCCUGGAAAAUUAGUUUAUCUCCAGAUGAAGAAACCCAAAACUGGUCUUCUGUGUGGAAAUUAUUGCCCCCUUCUCCCCAGGAAGCAGAUGGAAUGAACCCUGGGAAGGGGCAGAGCUGUUUCAGGUGGGACGCCCAGCCAAACAAAAGGGCCCCUACCUGCCAAUCGCCCCAAAUAGAAAGUUGAAGUUAGCAACAGCUUUUCCCCGCCCUCNACGUCGUUCCAGCAGAAGCUAACGCCCCCUGCCUCCCCUGCCUCCCCUGCCUCCCCUGCCUCCCCUGCCUCCCCUAUCUCGGGGCUCGGUCCCGCCCCUGGGGAGCACCUGCAGCCACCAGCCUCACCUCCACAGGUGGUAGCUUUCGCCUGUCUUGCUGGGGAAAUGCAAAUCACGCUCCUGUUUGGGUUCUUUUUAAAAGAUCGUUCCAGCAGAAGCUAACGCCCCCUGCCUCCCCUGCCUCCCCUGCCUCCCCUGCCUCCCCUGCCUCCCCUAUCUCGGGGCUCGGUCCCGCCCCUGGGGAGCACCUGCAGCCACCAGCCUCACCUCCACAGGUGGUAGCUUUCGCCUGUCUUGCUGGGGAAAUGCAAAUCACGCUCCUGUUUGGGUUCUUUUUAAAAGAUCUUCGGAGAAUGAUACAUCUUUACUGGAGCUUUUAUUCGGAGGACUCACUGGCGAGAAAUCAAAGUGAGAGAGGCUGACCGGUUAAUUUUCCUACGGCUUCGCCUUCCGGGAGGCCAUCCAGAGGCUUGGGCAAGGCGGGAGAUCCCGCUGGCUGGCGCGCGGACGCCGUGCCAGGGUCUGGGGCACCCUGGGCCAGCAGGCCGAGGCCGCCCGCCCGCUCCGGCCUCCUGCGCACCACAGGCCCCCGCCCCCACUGAGGCGGACCACAGUCGUCGAGAUCUGCAGUGUGGGGGAUCCCUGGGUGGCGCAGCCGUUUACGCCUGCCUUUGGCCCAGGGCGCGAUCCUGGAGACCCGGGAUCGAAUCCCACGUCGGGCUCCCGGUGCAUGGAGCCUGCUUCUCCCUCUGCCUGUGUCUCUGCCUCUCUCUCUCUCUCUCUCUCUCUCUCUCUCUGUGUGACUAUCAUAAAUAAACAAAUUAAAAAAAAAAAAAAGAUCUUCA